rnacentral:rRNA from 1 species
UACGUAGGGGGCAAGCGUUGUCCGGAUUUAUUGGGCGUAAAGAGCGUGUAGGCGGCCUGAAAGGUCAGCUGUGAAAACUCGAGGCUCAACCUCGAGACGCCGGUUGAAACCAUCUGGCUAGAGUCCGGAAGAGGAGAGUGGAAUUCCUGGUGUAGCGGUGAAAUGCGCAGAUAUCAGGAAGAACACCCGUGGCGAAGGCGGCUCUCUAGUACGGUACUGACGCUGAGACGCGAAAGCGUGGGGAGCGAACAGG